ensembl:lncRNA
CAGGUGUGUAGUGUCAGGUGUGUAGUGUCAGGUGUGUAGUGUCAGGUGUGUGAUGUCAGGUGUGUAGUGUCAGGUGUGUAGUGUCAGGUGUGUGAUGUCAGGUGUGUAGUGUCAGGUGUGUGAUGCCAGGUGUGUAAUGUUACUACUGUAUGUUAAGCUACUACGGUAUGCUACACUCCUACUGCAUGCUACAUUACUACUGUAUGCUACACUACUACUGUAUGCUACGCUACUACUGUAUGCUACGCUACUACUGUAUGCUACAUUACUACAGUAUGCUACGCUACUACUGUAUGCUACGUUACUACUGUAUAAUACAUUACUACAGUAUGCUACGCU